GACGAACGCUGGCGGCGUGCUUAACACAUGCAAGUCGAGCGGUAAGGCCCUUUCGGGGGUACACGAGCGGCGAACGGGUGAGUAACACGUGGGUGACCUGCCCUCAGCUCUGGGAUAAGACCUGGGAAACCGGGUCUAAUACCGGAUAUGACUCCAUGACGCAUGUUGUGGGGUGAAAGCCUUGUGCGGCUGAGGAUGGGGCCCGCGGCCUAUCAGCUUGUUGGUGGGGUGAUGGCCUACCAAGGCGACGACGGUAGCCGGCCUGAGAGGCGACCGGCCACACUGGGACUGAGACACGGCCCAGACUCCUACGGGAGGCGAGCAGUGGGGAAUCUUGCGCAAUGGGCGAAAGCCUGACGCAGCGACGCCGCGUGAGGA
rnacentral:rRNA from 1 species